rnacentral:rRNA from 1 species
UACGUAGGGGGCAAGCGUUGUCCGGAAUCAUUGGGCGUGAAGAGCGUGUAGGCGGCCAGAUAAGUCCGCUGUGAAAUCUCGAGGCUCAACUUCGAGCUGUCGGUGGAAACUGUCUGGCUAGAGUCCGGAAGAGGAGAAUGGAAUUCCUGGUGUAGCGGUGAAAUGCGCAGAUAUCAGGAAGAACACCCGUGGCGAAGGCGGUUCUCUGGGACGGUACUGACGCUGAGACGCGAAAGCGUGGGGAGCGAACAGG